CCAUGAUGCUGGGCCGGGAUGGUUGCGGGGAGCCUGCUGCUCCCGACUAGCUGGCCCUGAGGGAGGGAGGGAUGUGGGGGAACGUUCCUAGCAGCUGCCGAAACCAUUUGUUUCAGGGAUCCUCCCUGUUUCUUCCCGGCUGGGCACUGGCUGCCAACUUAACUGUUUUCCUUGGUGGAACAGAAACAGGCGUCUGGAAGAGCUGACGAACUCCAGGACUAAGUCCACCGAUCCAGGAGUGGGGUUUCUGGGUCAUCAGGAAUGGACAUAUUCUUCUCUAGUAGACACUGCCAGACAAUUUUCAAGCUCGAAGCCUCUCAGAGCCCAGCGCCCUCAGCAGCACCCUCGCAUUUGGAGCCUCUCAGAGCCCAGCGCCCUCAGCAGCACCCUCGCAUUUGGAGCCUCUCAGAGCCCAGCGCCCUCAGCAGCACCCUCGCAUUUGGAGCCUCUCAGAGCCCAGCGCCCUCAGCAGCACCCUCGCAUUUGGAUAGCCAGCCUGCAUCUGUGUUGCACCUGCUUCGUCUCCCCUGGUUUUUUGACCAGGAGGCAUGUGGGAUCUUACCUCCCUGACCAGGGAUCAAACCUGUACCCCACGCAUUGGAAGGAAACAUCUUAAC
ensembl:lncRNA